rnacentral:rRNA from 1 species
AUUGAACGCUGGCGGCAUGCCUUACACAUGCAAGUCGAACGGUAACGGGUCCUUCGGGAUGCCGACGAGUGGCGAACGGGUGAGUAAUAUAUCGGAACGUGCCCAGUAGUGGGGGAUAACUGCUCGAAAGAGCAGCUAAUACCGCAUACGACCUGAGGGUGAAAGGGGGGGAUCGCAAGACCUCUCGCUAUUGGAGCGGCCGAUAUCAGAUUAGCUAGUUGGUGGGGUAAAGGCCUACCAAGGCAACGAUCUGUAGUUGGUCUGAGAGGACGACCAGCCACACUGGGACUGAGACACGGCCCAGACUCCUACGGGAGGCAGCAGUGGGGAAUUUUGGACAGUGGGCGCAAGCCUGAUCCAGCAAUGCCGCGUGCAGGAAGAAGGCCUUCGGGUUGUAAACUGCUUUUGUCAGGGAAGAAAUCUUCUGGGCUAAUACCCCGGGAGGAUGACGGUACCUGAAGAAUAAGCACCGGCUAACUCCGUGCCAGCAGCCGCCGUAACAC